GAUGAACGCUGGCGGCGUGCCUAAUACAUGCAAGUCGAGCGAACAGACGAGGAGCUUGCUCUUCUGACGUUAGCGGCGGACGGGUGAGUAACACGUGGAUAACCUACCUAUAAGACUGGGAUAACUUCGGGAAACCGUAGCUAAUACCGCAUAAUAUAUUGAACCGCAUGGUUCAAUAUUGAAAGACGGUAUUGCUGUCACUUAUAGAUGGAUCCGCGCCGCAUUAUCUAGUUGGUAAGGUAACGGCUUACCAAGGCAACGAUGCGUAGCCGACCUGAGAGGGUGAUCGGCCACACUGGAACUGAGACACGGUCCAGACUCCUACGGGAGGCAGCAGUAGGGAAUCUUCGGAAAUGGGCGAAAGCCUAACGGAGCAACGCCGCGUGAGUGAUGAAGGUCUUCGGAUCGUAAAACUCUGUUAUUAGGGAAGAACAAAUGUGUAAGUAACUAUGCACGUCUUGACGGUACCUAAUCAGAAAGCCACGGCUAACUACGUG
rnacentral:rRNA from 1 species